UCUGACUCAACUUGAACAGGUAAUAUAUGUACAUACUGACAAAAUUCAAGCAGCCAAAGGGGAACACAUAAAAGCAAGUCUCCACCUCUGGUUUCCAUUUUCCAUUCCUAAAGCAACGGUUCCCAGUUUCCCUCCGGAGCUGCUGUUAUAUGAUAACAAAGCAUUGAGGUUAAGAGCAUGUGUUGAGUUCACAAGAAGAAAAAUGAGUUUGAAAGAAAGAAGGACCUUACUGAUGGCCCCAUAGCCAAGAAGCAGC